CCUACGGGUGGCAGCAGUGAGGAAUAUUGGUCAAUGGCCGGAAGGCUGAACCAGCCAUGUCGCGUGAAGGUCAGUGCCCUAUGGGCGUUAAACUUCUUUUGUGCGGGAGCAAUAAUGGUCACGUGUGGCCAGACGAGAGUACCGUACGAAUAAGCAUCGGCUAACUCCGUGCCAGCAGCCGCGGUAAUACGGGGGAUGCAAGCGUUAUCCGGAUUUAUUGGGGUUAAAGGGUGCGUAGGCUGUGAGGUAAGUCAGCGGUGAAAUGCCCCAGCUCAACGGGGUGAAGGGCCAUUGAUACUGCCUUGCUGGAAUGCGGAUGCCGUGGGAGGAAUGUGUGGUGUAGCGGUGAAAUGCAUAGAUAUCACACAGAACACCGAUUGCGAAGGCAUCUCACGAAUCCGCGAUUGACGCUGAUGCACGAAAGCGUGGGUAUCAAACAGGAUUAGAUACCCCUGUAGUC
rnacentral:rRNA from 1 species